GGCUCGUUGGCUUUACGGAGACGCGCGGAGCACCCUCAAGGUGCCACACGCUCGCCUGCUCCCUGUUCCUACAUCCUGGGCGUCUUCCCAGGCUGUCAUAUAACUCCUGAGAAUAGUGGUUCUUAACUCUAGAGAAGAACUGAAGCUGAAAAAUCUACCUGCCUAAGGACUCAUAACUUGUAAGAAUAGUUGUGAAACCUCACUGGAGGAACU
rnacentral:lncRNA from 1 species